ACCUGAUUCCUACCAUAGCCACAAACUCCAUUGGUUCUAUUUUUAGGAGUCCAUUCCAAAGGGUGUUAUUAUUCUCUGUCUCCAGGCACAGCCCGGAGCAGUGGCCAGACUGGGGAAGGAGCCUCUCAUGGUGACUCACCACCAUCCUCCCCUGAGUAAUGGUCUGUGGGUGCCAUCACUCACUUGUGCUGACACACAGGACUGGACAGAGUUGCUCCCGAGUCAGCAGCUAAGUGGCUCCAUACAGGCCCCCAGUGCAGGGCCUUAGAGGCUGAAAGGGUUGGCAUCAUAGAGGACAAAAGGAAAGCCCCCUAAAGGGGAAAAAGGACUCUGUGCUCUGGAUAUUUUGUUCCAAAGAUUCUUCAAUAUAGCUGCC
rnacentral:lncRNA from 1 species